rnacentral:rRNA from 1 species
GACGAACGCUGGCGGCGUGCUUAACACAUGCAAGUCGAGCGGUAAGGCCCUUUCGGGGGUACACGAGCGGCGAACGGGUGAGUAACACGUGGGUGACCUGCCCUCAGCUCUGGGAUAAGCCUGGGAAACCGGGUCUAAUACCGGAUAUGACUCCAUGACGCAUGUUGUGGGGUGGAAAGCCUUGUGCGGCUGAGGAUGGGCCCGCGGCCUAUCAGCUUGUUGGUGGGGUGAUGGCCUACCAAGGCGACGACGGGUAGCCGGCCUGAGAGGGCGACCGGCCACACUGGAACUGGAACACGGUCCAGACUCCUACGGGAGGCAGCAGUUAGGAAUUUUGCGCAAUGGGGGAAACCCUGACGCAGCAACGCCGCGUGGAGGAUGAAGGC